GACGAACGCUGGCGGCGUGCCUAAUACAUGCAAGUUGAGCGCUGAAGGUUGGUACUUGUACCAACUGGAUGAGCAGCGAACGGGUGAGUAACGCGUGGGGAAUCUGCCUUUGAGCGGGGGACAACAUUUGGAAACGAAUGCUAAUACCGCAUAAAAACUUUAAACACAAGUUUUAAGUUUGAAAGAUGCAAUUGCAUCACUCAAAGAUGAUCCCGCGUUGUAUUAGCUAGUUGGUGAGGUAAAGGCUCACCAAGGCGAUGAUACAUAGCCGACCUGAGAGGGUGAUCGGCCACAUUGGGACUGAGACACGGCCCAAACUCCUACGGGAGGCAGCAGUAGGGAAUCUUCGGCAAUGGACGAAAGUCUGACCGAGCAACGCCGCGUGAGUGAAGAAGGUUGUCGGAUCGUAAAACUCUGUUGGUAGAGAAGAACGUUGGUGAGGGUGGAAAGCUCAUCAAGUGACGGUAACUACCCAGAAAGGGACGGCUAACUACGUG
rnacentral:rRNA from 1 species